rnacentral:rRNA from 1 species
GAUGAACGCUGGCGGCGUGCCUAAUACAUGCAAGUCGAGCGAACAGACGAGAAGCUUGCUCCUCUGAUGUUAGCGGCGGACGGGUGAGUAACACGUGGAUAACCUACCUAUAAGACUGGGAUAACUUCGGGAAACCGGAGCUAAUACCGGAUAAUAUUUUGAACCGCAUGGUUCAAAAGUGAAAGACGGUCUUGCUGUCACUUAUAGAUGGAUCCGCGCUGCAUUAGCUAGUUGGUAAGGUAACGGCUUACCAAGGCAACGAUGCAUAGCCGACCUGAGAGGGUGAUCGGCCACACUGGAACUGAGACACGGUCCAGACUCCUACGGGAGGCAGCAGUAGGGAAUCUUCCGCAAUGGGCGAAAGCCUGACGGAGCAACGCCGCGUGAGUGAUGAAGGUCUUCGGAUCGUAAAACUCUGUUAUUAGGGAAGAACAUAUGUGUAAGUAACUAUGCACGUCUUGACGGUACCUAAUCAGAAAGCCACGGCUAACUACGUG